rnacentral:rRNA from 1 species
UACAGAGGUGGCAAGCGUUGUUCGGAAUUACUGGGCGUAAAGGGCGCGUAGGCGGCCUACUAAGUCAGACGUGAAAUCCCCCGGCUUAACCUGGGAACUGCGUCUGAUACUGGAAGGCUUGAGUAUGGGAGAGGGAUGUAGAAUUCCAGGUGUAGCGGUGAAAUGCGUAGAUAUCUGGAGGAAUACCGGUGGCGAAGGCGGCAUCCUGGACCAUUACUGACGCUGAGGAGCGAAAGCUAGGGGAGCAAACGGG